UGAAUGAGGAGCUGGUGCAGCUGUUGCUGAUGAGAGAUGAGCUCCAUGUGGAGCAGGACGCCAUGCUGGUGGACGUAGAAGACCUGACCAGGCAUGCUCAGAGCCAGCAGAGACACCUGACAGAGAAAACCCUCUCCAAAUAAAACCCCUGCCACCUGUCACCCACAUCACAUGACAACCACAACCACCACAGAGCAGUGGUCAAAAACCCUGGUCCUGGAGACCAAUAAGGUGUGCAGGCUUUUGCUCCAGCACAGCACUUUCACAGCUGAUUCAACUAAUCAAUAUCUUUGAUGCUCAGUUGAUUAGUUGAAUUAGGUAUGUUAGUGCUAGGCUGGACCAAGCCUGGACAUGCUUUAGCUCGUCAGGGUUGGGGUCCACCGCUAGAGAACCACACCCAUCCGGGAGUCAUACAGGGCCCUGAGUUUUAAGUGGUCGGGCAAAACUCUGGGCCCCAGUCAUAAACCAUGUGUCGUUGUGGCAGUUUGAUCACAGAAGAUGACUAGAGUUCUGUUUGUUGCCCCGCUCAGCCAGUCGCGUGCUUUGUAGAAUACUCAACACACUGCAUAGCUAUGUAUCUAUUAAACACAUAGUUGUUUGUGCUGUUGCUAAGGAAUGAGCUCCUAGGCUUCCCAGUGUAUAAACUUUGCGGCAACUGCACAGAUCUUGUAUGAAUCAUUUAGACACACAUGGAUGUAGUACAGCUGUUGUUGCAUAAUUCCACCUGCUUUAACAUGCUGAUGUUUUGAAGAUUUACUGGUUGACCCUUGAUUUUGCCAAAUUUACAGACAGAUUGCAUUGACCUUAUUUUUAGUCUGCACUAUAGGUGGAAUGAAAGCUAAGGGUCCUUUUAGUGUUCUUUGUGGCAGGGUUUAAAUAACUAAUCUUACUAAACUUGACACCCAUGUUCCAAAUAUUAACAUUGGUUUAGCCUAAUAUUUUUAUGAUGCUCCCAAAUGUCAAUGUGUAAUUCAAUCCCUGCUUUGUGACCCUAAUGCUAGUCCACAGUAAAACAUUCAAAAAUAUAUAUUUUAAGACAAAAUAUUAUUGACAAAGUAAAAUCCCAAUUAUUAAGAACUAAAGAUGUCUGAGCUGACUGAUCUUGACACUUGUAAAGCGAUAGCUGGUCGGUCUGGGCUAAAUAAAUACAAAUUCUGAGCUGGAAGGAGACUUGGAUGCCUAGUUGCCUGGUUGUAGAUGAUGGUCAUUGGUGUUCACUAUGAUUAGUCCAUCUUCAGCAUUUGGAGAAUGUCAUUUUAUAGCAGCUUUUUUCAUUUAUUUCUCCAUCAGAUUAUACUAAGCUCAUUCAAAAGUAUUCUGCAUCAUUCAGAAAUCAUAUGACGUUUUGUGUACAGAGAUGAAAAUGAUAAAUAAACGUUUUAAGUGUU